rnacentral:lncRNA from 1 species
GUGGCCACACCCACUUCUCCCACUGCCCCCUCCCGACUGUCACCCGCACACAGCAGGAACAAAGGGCAAUCCUUGGGCUCAAUGUACAGUCACUUGGGGGAAAUACUUAGUGAUUCUGAGACUAUCAAGGGGAGCAUCAGAGUCUGACCCAGGUGAGGAGCUUAAGAACAGAAAUAGACUUUCCUGCAAGAAAAAAGGAGAUUAACUUUGUUUUAGGGUCCAAUGGAAAGGGGCACAUCUUCUUUCCUGUAGACUAAUCCAGAAGGUGGAAGCUAGGGGCCAUCUGUGGAGCCCAAGUCCCCAAACAACAUAAUAGGCGAGAAAUGGUGAGAAUCCAGUCUUUAAGACAGUGUUUGAGCUGCUGGAUCCAGCCACUCCUGAUGCUAGAUUUCAACUAUGUGAACCAAUCAAGUCCAACCAAUCUCCAGAAAGAGAGCAAACCAAUCAAAAGCCUUUCUAUUGCAGAUGACAGAAAGCCCAAGUCAGACUGCAAUGGUGUGGAGAAUGCCCCCCAAGACAUUUAUGUCCUAAUUUCUGGAACUCGUGAAUAAGUUACAUGGCAAAUGGGACUUUGCAAAUGUGAUUGAGGUUAUGGACCUUAAAGAGUGUUCUGGGUCAUGCUGGUGGGUGCCGGCAUCUCCAGCUGGAGGCAGCAAGAGGGAGGCUGAGAAUGGAGAGGUCUUUUCUGAAGGGCCAUGUGGGAAGCAUAAGAAGGAAAGUGGGCGGCCUGUAGGGACCAUGACCUGCCGAGGCAAUGGUUCUGUAAAUGGAUCCUUCCCCGGAGCUUGAGAGACACCCAAACUGCAGACCUGGUUGGAGCACGUCAUGAUGGAGUUCUACCUAACACUGUGACAUAACAGAGUCUUGGUCAUGAUUUAGUCAGGACCAGUCCACCAGUCUAAUGGAAAAAGAUGACUGGCCCUCUCAUAGGUGCACUUCAGGAACAGUUGGAUCCAGCAGCCUCAACACUUCUCAGGACUUGAUUUCUCUGCCUCCUCUAUGGCUGCCUCCUAUGCUGCUCCUUGCUCACCCUCCAGGAGGUGGUCCCAGCUGCUUCGGGCUGCAGGCUCCAGGUGAAUGUCUGUGGAAAGAGCCUGUCCCGUUGUCUCUACAGGGCGGUGUGUCCAUUCCUAAGCCAGUCUCUGAGGCUGGUAGCAUGCAGUGUCCUUGUUCACCAGCUCAGGGUCACACACCUACUCCAGUGUAGAGCUGGACCCACGAGACUCGGGCUGGGAGCAAGGAGGAUGGCUCCCAGGAGAAACCCGGGCACAGCGGUGGGAGCUCAGGCAGCGGCCUCGGGGACCACUGGUGGAGAGAGGCAGGUCAAGGCCCACCCUUAGUUUCUGGGGGCCGACGAUUCACUCUGUAGGCCGCCUUGGGCAGAGGGACACCCAUACCCUUGUCCCCAGCAUCCCACAGAUGAGUCAAAACUUCCAGAACCCUCCCAGCCUAGCGGAGCCCCACACAGCCUCCUGCAGAGGGCCAUGUCCCCAAACUGCACUGCCGCGCACAGGAGCCGCGGGCUCCUUGGAGGCUGCUUCACUGGGAGGCAGAGCAAAUAACUGUUAUUUAUACCACGGCCCAGGGGGCCACACAGCUCUGCGGCAAAUAUGGUCAAAAUUGGAGCCUGCGGCCUGAAGGGGAGCGAAGCUGUCCCCCAGGACCCUGGAGGCAGCAGUGUGUCCACCCACAGCAUUGUCGGGCCCUCCAGGAGACUCCAGGGCACCUUCUCACCCACUCUGCCAGCCUCUGCCCCUCCUGCCAGUCGAGGACCCCUUCCCCAGCAGGGCCCACGGGCCUUUCCUAGGCCGAGUCCAGGCCAGCCUGAGCCCGAGCUGGGUUCCCCAGCGCCCAGGCCAUUCCCCUGAAGAGCCAGCCACGCGGGUCAGUGGGUGGCAGAUGCUGCACUCGGAACCCACAGGUCACAUGCCCUCUGGGUGCCAGACCCCGGGCGGGGGGAACAGCUCGGCUUCCAGGCAGGGUGAGGGGCCGUGGCACCCUCCCUGCGGCAGCUGCCGCAGCCUGCCGAGGUCUCCAGGCCAGUCCUGGAGGGAGGCGGAGGUUGGCAGCAGUGCAGCCUGGCUGACCACCUGGUGCUGUCCCAGGCCACCCACCCUCCUGGGCCCAGGUGCCCGGGCCCCCCGACGCUGCGCUUGGCCACAGGUCAGGAGGGAACGUGGAUCUCCCAGUUACCCGAGAGGCACAUUCCUGCUCCGGGUGCUCAGGCGGGAAAGCUCUGGGCCACCAAGUCCCCUCUCCCUGUCCCAGCUUGUGUCCCACCCACCUUCCAAACAAACUCCUGUCCCUGGCUCCUGGCCUGUCACCCACGUGUGCAGCGGCCACAGGCCCUGUGAGCAGUGAGUCGGCUCGCAGAAUCCGGCCUCCUGCCCCGCAGUGGCCCCCGCCGCCUCCCUGCGCCCAGCCCCAGGCGGUGCCCCAUGCCCGCUGGCCCUUCC